rnacentral:rRNA from 1 species
GAUGAACGCUGGCGGCGUGCCUAAUACAUGCAAGUCGAGCGAACAGACGAGGAGCUUGCUCCUCUGACGUUAGCGGCGGACGGGUGAGUAACACGUGGAUAACCUACCUAUAAGACUGGGAUAACUUCGGGAAACCGGAGCUAAUACCGGAUAAUAUAUUGAACCGCAUGGUUCAAUAGUGAAAGACGGUUUUGCUGUCACUUAUAGAUGGAUCCGCGCCGCAUUAGCUAGUUGGUAAGGUAACGGCUUACCAAGGCAACGAUGCGUAGCCGACCUGAGAGGGUGACCGGCCCACCGGGACCGGGAAACCGUCCCAAACCCCACGGGGGGGCAGCAGUGGGGAAUUUUCCGCAAUGGGCGAAAGCCUACCGGGGCAACCCCGCGGGGGGAAUAAAGGCUUCGGGUUCGAAAACCCUUUUUAUUAGGAAAAAAAAAAUGGUUAAUAAACUUUCCCCCUUUUGACGGUCCCAAACCAAAAAGCCCCGGUUAACUCCGU